ensembl:snoRNA
GGCCUCGAGUGAUGGAGAAACGACCCUGGGAGGACAAUGACCAAAUCGGGAUGUAUUCGUACUGUCUGAUGGGGUC